UCAAGCGACUAAGUGUAUGUGGUGGAUGCCUUGGCGAUUACAGGCGAAGAAGGACGUCGCAGCCUGCGAAAAGCCGUGGGGAGCUGGCAAGCGAGCACUGAUCCACGGAUGUCCGAAUGAGGGAACUCACCCGCAAGGGUAUCUUGAAGUGAAUACAUAGCUUCAAGAGGCGAACGCAGCGAACUGAAACAUCUAAGUAGCUGCAGGAAAAGAAAUCAACCGAGAUUCUGAAAGUAGCGGCGAGCGAAAUUGGAAGAGCCUGCAAGUGAUAUUGAAUUCGAUACUGGAACGGUCUGGAAAGUCCGGCUACAGAGGGUGACAGCCCCGUACGGGAAAUUGGGUUCAAGGUACUGAGCUUGCGAGAAGUAGAGCGGGACACGUGAAAUCCUGCUCGAAGAUGGGGGGACCAUCCUCCAAGGCUAAAUACUCGUAAUCGACCGAUAGCGAACCAGUACUGUGAAGGAAAGGCGAAAAGAACCCCGGGAGGGGAGUGAAAUAGAUCCUGAAACCGCAUACAUACAAACAGUAGGAGCCCGCAAGGGUGACUGCGUACCUUUUGCAUAAUGGGUCAGCGACUUACGUUCAAUGGCAAGCUUAACCGAGUAGGGGAGGCGCAGCGAAAGCGAGUCCGAACAGGGCGAUAUGAGUCGUUGGGCGUAGACCCGAAACCAGAUGAUCUAUCCAUGGCCAGGCUGAAGGUGUGGUAACACACACUGGAGGGCCGAACCGACUAGUGUUGCAAAAUUAGCGGAUGAGCUGUGGAUAGGGGUGAAAGGCUAAACAAAUCUGGAGAUAGCUGGUUCUCCCCGAAAACUAUUGAGGUAGUGCCUCGUGUAUGGCUCCAGGGGGUAGAGCACUGUUAUGGCUAGGGGGACAUGGCGUCUUACCAAACCAUGGCAAACUCCGAAUACUUGGAAGUCUGAGCACGGGAGACAGAGCACCGGGUGCUAACGUCCGGACUCAAAAGGGAAACAACCCAGACCGCCGGCUAAGGUCCCUAAUAUUGACUAAGUGGAAAACGAAGUGGGAAGGCUAAGACAGUCAGGAAGUUGGCUUAGAAGCAGCCAUCCUUCAAAGAAAGCGUAAUAGCUCACUGAUCGAGUCUUCCUGCGCGGAAGAUGUAACGGGGCUAAGUCAAUAACCGAAGCCGCGGAUUCGCAGCAAUGCGAGUGGUAGGGGAGCGUUCUGUAAGCCUGCGAAGGCGGAUCUGCGAGGACCGCUGGAGGUAUCAGAAGUGCGAAUGCUGACAUGAGUAACGUUAAAGCGGGUGAAAAGCCCGCUCGCCGCAAGCCCAAGGUUUCCUGCUCUACGUUCAUCGGAGCAGGGUGAGUCGGCCCCUAAGGUCAGGCUGAGAAGCGUAGCUGAUGGGAAGCUGGUUAAUAUUCCAGCACCGAUUUCAAGUGCGAAGGGGGGGACGGAGUCCUGAAGGUCAUCCGGGUGUUGGACAUCCCGGUUUACGAGCGUAGGAGGUUGACAGGCAAAUCCGUCAACGAAUCUCCAAGGCGAAGGAUCGAGGUUGAGAGAUCAACUGAAGUGACUGAAUGGGCUUCCAGGAAAAGCCUCUAAGCAUCAGCUUGGAAUUGACCGUACCGCAAACCGACACUGGUGGGCGAGCUGAAUAUGCUCAGGCGCUUGAGAGAACUCAGGAGAAGGAACUCGGCAAAUUGACACCGUAACUUCGGGAUAAGGUGUGCCUUUGUAGUGUGAAGAGAGAAACACUCCGAGCAUGAAGAGGCCUCAGAGAAUCGGUGGCUGCAACUGUUUACUAAAAACACAGCACUCUGCAAAGAUGAAAGUCGACGUAUAGGGUGUGAUGCCUGCCCGGUGCUGGAAGAUUAAUUGAUGGGGUGCAAGCUCCUGAUCGAAGUCCCAGUAAACGGCGGCCGUAACUAUAACGGUCCUAAGGUAGCGAAAUUCCUUGUC
rnacentral:rRNA from 1 species